UCGAGCGGACUUGAAGAGAAGCUUGCUUCUCNGAUGGUUAGCGGCGGACGGGUGAGUAACACGUAGGCAACCUGCCCUCAAGCUUGGGACAACUACCGGAAACGGUAGCUAAUACCGAAUACUUGUUUUCUUCGCCUGAAGNNAACUGGAAAGACGGAGCAAUCUGUCACUUGGGGAUGGGCCUGCGGCGCAUUAGCUAGUUGGUGAGGUAACGGCUCACCAAGGCGACGAUGCGUAGCCGACCUGAGAGGGUGAUCGGCCACACUGGGACUGAGACACGGCCCAGACUCCUACGGGAGGCAGCAGUAGGGAAUCUUCCGCAAUGGGCGAAAGCCUGACGGAGCAAUGCCGCGUGAGUGAUGAAGGUUUUCGGAUCGUAAAGCUCUGUUGCCAGGGAAGAACGCUUGNGAGAGUAACUGCUCUCAAGGUGACGGUACCUGAGAAGAAAGCCCCGGCUAACUACGUGCCAGCAGCCGCGGUAAUACGUAGGGGGCAAGCGUUGUCCGGAAUUAUUGGGCGUAAAGCGCGCGCAGGCGGUCAUGUAAGUCUGGUGUUUAAUCCCGGGGCUCAACCCCGGAUCGCACUGGAAACUGUGUGACUUGAGUGCAGAAGAGGAGAGUGGAAUUCCACGUGUAGCG
rnacentral:rRNA from 1 species